AGGACGAACGCUGGCGGCGUGCCUAACACAUGCAAGUCGAACGGAGCGAAAGAAGCUUGCUUCUGGCGCUUAGUGGCGGACGGGUGAGUAACACGUGAGCAACCUGCCUUUCAGAGGGGAAUAAUGUCUGGAAACGGACACUAAUACCGCAUAACAUAUUGAAUCUGCAUGGAUUUAAUAUCAAAGGAGCAAUCCGCUGAAAGAUGGGCUCGUGUCUGAUUAGCCAGUUGGCGGGUAACGGCCCACCAAGCGACGAUCAGUAGCCGGACUGAGAGGUUGAACGGCCACAGUUGGGACUGAGACACGGCCCAGACUCCUACGGGAGGCAGCAGGUGGGGAUAUUGCACAAUGGGGGAACCCUGAUGCCAGCAACGCCGCGUGCAGGAAGACGGUCUUCGGAUUGUAAACUGUUGUUCUUCGUGACGAUAAUGACGGUAGCGAAGAAGGAAGCCACGGCUAACUACGUGCCAGCCGCCGC
rnacentral:rRNA from 1 species